rnacentral:rRNA from 1 species
UGCAAGUCGAACGGAAGUCGUUAUAAAAAGGAUUGAAGAUUUAUCUGAUUGAGAUUUUAUAACAAUGGCUUUAGUGGCGGACUGGUGAGUAACGCGUGAGCAACCUGCCUACUAGAGGGGAAUAACAGUGAGAAAUCAUUGCUAAUACCGCAUAUGCCAUGAACAUCACAUGAUGAAAAUGGGAAAAGAGUAAUCUGCUAGUAGAUGGGCUCGCGUCUGAUUAGAUAGUUGGUGGGGUAACGGCCUACCAAGUCGACGAUCAGUAGCCGGACUGAGAGGUUGAACGGCCACAUUGGGACUGAGAUACGGCCCAGACUCCUACGGGAGGCAGCAGUCGGGAAUAUUGCGCAAUGGAGGAAACUCUGACACAGUGACGCCGCGUAUAGGAAGAAGGUUUUCGGAUUGUAAACUAUUGUCGUUAGGGAAGAUACAAGACAGUACCUAAGGAGGAAGCUCCGGCUAACUACGUGCCAGCAGCCGCGGUAAUACGUAGGUGGCAAGCGUUGUCCGGAAUUACUGGGUGUAAAGGG